AGGACCAUUCCUCAGCGGUAAUCCACCUAUGAAAACCCUGUGUGGCCCAGCAUGCAACUAUAUACGUCCACAAUGAUUUUCUGGCCCUGCUCCUAAUGGAACCACCCAACAAAAUGACAAUGAGAGAAAAGAAUACACAGAGCAGGUACAAGGAGACUUAACAUAGAACCACGUAACCCAAACUAGACCUUCCCCCGCCCCCGUUUUCUGUUGACCCUGAAGAGAAGACGCUCCUGGCCAUCAUGAUGUUCUGCCCAAGCAUCUGGGGGCAAGCAGCCAUAGACUGAAACCACAGAGACUGUGAGCCAAAAUAUGCCCAUCCGUCCCUUAAAUUAUGUAUGUCAGGUACACAUAGCAACGAAGAAUCUGACCAA